UCGCCUGUUUAUCAAAAACAUGGUUUCUUGAUAUUAUUUAAGAGAUUUAACCUGCCCACUGAAUUUUUUUAAAGGGCCGCAGUAUCUUGACUGUGCAAAGGUAGCAUAAUCAUUAGUCUUUUAAUUGAAGGCUGGUAUGAAUGGUUGGAUGAGGUGAAUACUGUUUUAUAUAAAUUCAAUUGAAUUUAGAUUUUAAGUAAAAAAACUUAAAUAUAAUUAAGGGACGAGAAGACCCUAUAGAGUUUAAUAAAUGUAAUAAGUAAUUAAGUUAAUAUAUAAUUUUUAAUUAUUAUGUAAUUUAUUUAAUUGGGGUGAUUAAAAGAUAAAAUAAACUCUUUUUAAAAUUAAAUAUUAAUAAUUAGUUUUAUGAUCCAUAAUUAAUGAUUAAAAGAUUAAAUUACCUUAGGGAUAACAGCAUAAUUUUUUUUGAGAGUUCUUAUCGAAAAGAAAGAUUGUGACCUCGAUGUUGGAUUAAGAUUUAUUUUAGGUGUAGGUGCUUAAAUAUUAGGUCUGUUCGACCUUUAAAAUCUUACAUGAUCUGAGUUCAAACCGGAGA
rnacentral:rRNA from 1 species